rnacentral:rRNA from 1 species
UACGGAGGGUGCAAGCGUUGUCCGGAAUCACUGGGCGUAAAGGGCGCGCAGGUGGCUCUGUAUGUCUGCCGUGAAAGCAUACAGCUCAACUGUAUUGUGUCGGUAGAAACUGCAGGACUUGAGGCUGGGAGGGGCUGGUGGAAUUCCCUGUGUAGCGGUGAAAUGCGUAGAGAUGGGGGAGAACACUCGUGGCGAAGGCGGCCAGCUAGACCAGUUCUGACACUGAGGCGCGACAGCGUGGGGAGCAAACAGG